rnacentral:rRNA from 1 species
GACGAAUGCUGGCGGCGCGCUUAACACAUGCAAGUCGAACGGAAAGGCCCUGCUUUUGUGGGGUGCUCGAGUGGCGAACGGGAGAGUAACAAGUGAGUAACCUGCCUUUGACUUUGGGAUAACUUCAGGAAACUGGGGCUAAUACCGGAUAGGAUCUCCUGCUGCUCGGUGGGGGUUGGAAAGGUUCGGCGGUGGGGGAUGUACUCGCGACUUAUCGGCUUGUUGGUGUGGUAGCGGCUUACCAAGGCUUUGACGGGUCGCCGGCCUGAUAAGGUAACCGUCCACGUUGGGACUGGGAUACGGCCCGUACUCCUGCGAGAGGCAUCAGUGGGGUAUAUUGCACAAUGGGCGGAGGCCUGAUGCAGUAACGCCGCGUGCGGGAUGACGGCUGUCGGUUUGUAUGCCGCUUUCGCCUGUGACGAAGCGUGGGUGACGGUAAUGGGUAAAGAAGCACCGGCGAACUACGUG